rnacentral:rRNA from 1 species
AUGAACGCUGGCGGCGUGCCUAAUACAUGCAAGUCGAGCGAACAGACGCGGAGCUUGCUCCUCUGACGUUAGCGGCGGACGGGUGAGUAACACGUGGAUAACCUACCUAUAAGACUGGGAUAACUUCGGGAAACCGGAGCUAAUACCGGAUAAUAUAUUGAACCGCAUGGUUCAAUAGUGAAAGACGGUUUUGCUGUCACUUAUAGAUGGAUCCGCGCCGCAUUAGCUAGUUGGUAAGGUAACGGCUUACCAAGGCGACGAUGCGUAGCCGACCUGAGAGGGUGAUCGGCCACACUGGAACUGAGACACGGUCCAGACUCCUACGGGAGGCAGCAGUAGGGAAUCUUCCGCAAUGGGCGAAAGCCUGACGGAGCAACGCCGCGUGAGUGAUGAAGGUCUUCGGAUCGUAAAACUCUGUUAUUAGGGAAGAACAAAUGUGUAAGUAACUAUGCACGUCUUGACGGUACCCAAUCAGAAAGCCACGGCUAACUACGUG